GAAGCUCUCUGCUCCUGCCUUCCCUUUCCCGGGGAGAGUUCCUGAUCUCAGCCGUACCGGCCUUCCCUAGAGCUGAGUCACAGCGCAUGGGGCAGCAUGUUUAAAAUAAACAGGCAAGGUCAUGCUUGUAAGAAAUAUGGGCCCGUAAUUUCCGAGCUCCCCAGCGUCGCAUGUGGGGAAUCCCUCUGGCAAGUUCCAAGGUAUUCCAGAAUCCAGUGCAGAUUUCAAACUUGUUCUGCUCAUGUGUCCCUUCCCUCCGUUCCAAAAUAAGACAAGAGAACUGUUGUGGUAAAGUUUAAAAAAGUUUCAUUUUAUUUGUAAAAAUGUUGAGGGAGUUAUUUUUCAAAAUGUCAUAGUGCAACUGCUUAAGGUAAAGGUUACUGUGUUGUCAAAAAUUUAAGGAUUUAUAUCUUGUAUGUUAUUUUUGUGAAUAAAUGUUUUUCA